rnacentral:lncRNA from 1 species
ACUCUGUCUCAAACACACACACACACACACACACCCCAGAUGAGAAGUUGCUGCCUCCGGGAAGUUUCCCUUGACGUGUCCGUGCCCCACGCCUUUGCUUCCAGAUUGCCUUGGACUUAACACGUGUUCCUUAUCAGCUGGCUGCUGUCCUUUGACUUCCACCAGAUGGUGUGCUUCCUGGAGGCACAGGUUCUGUCUUUCAUUAAGACCUGACCCAUCUCAGGACAUAGGAAGCACUCUGGGCAAGAGGUAUGAGCCGGGAUGAAGUGGACUCCUUGUCUGGAGGUGGUGCUACACACCUUGGAGGGGCUCCUGGGAGCUACUGAGAAUGUCCCCUAAGUCAGUAUUCCUGCCUCAGCUGAAAUGCCAGUCUUCAGCCUCAUCUACUGCACACUUGAGUCCAUGAGAUUUUAGAGUGGGCUCUGGUGUUAUCCUCCUUCUGGGUCUCCAUCAUAUCUGCUCUCAGCAAAAGAUCCAGCUCAUUCAUCCAGCCCCAAGGGACAGGG